rnacentral:rRNA from 1 species
CUCUAAGGGCAUUUGGUGGAUGCCUUGGCGUUGAGAGGCGAUGAAGGACGUGACACGCUGCGAUAAGCCAUGGGGAGCUGCGAGUAAGCUUUGAUCCGUGGAUUUCCGAAUGGGGAAACCCGGCCAUUUAGGUCAUCCCGCAAGGGAAGCGAACCUGGGGAACUGAAAUAUCUAAGUACCCGGAGGAAAGGACAUCAACCGAGACUCCGUUAGUAGUGGCGAGCGAACGCGGACCAGGCCAAUGCCAAUUCUCUUUUUAACUGGAACCAUCUGGAAAGUUGGGCAUAAGUGGGUGAUAGCCCCGUACAGGUAAGAAAGAGUUUUGGAUUCGAGUAGGGCGGGACACGUGAAAUCCUGUCUGAACAUGGGGGGACCACCCUCCAAGCCUAAGUACUCCUCAACGACCGAUAGCGAACCAGUACCGUGAGGGAAAGGUGAAAAGCACCCCGACGAGGGGAGUGAAACAGUUCCUGAAACCGGACGCCUACAAGCAGUCGGAGGAGCCUCGAGCUCUGACGGCGUACCUUUUGUAUAAUGGGUCAUCGACUUGGUCUCACGAGCAAGCUUAAGCCGAUAGGUGUAGGCGCAGCGAAAGCGAGUCUUAAAAGGGCGUUUGAGUUCGUCGGAUUAGACCCGAAGCCGGGUGAUCUAGCCAUGGGCAGGUUGAAGGUG